rnacentral:misc_RNA from 1 species
CCAUGAUCCGGUGGAGGCUUUUUAUGGUGUUUUUGGUACUUUUGUUUCUGAUUCCAAUAUCAGAUAGUCAAGACGAUGAGGAAGAUGAGAAAGAUGAUCAAGUCGAUGGUGAUGAAAACGAUGACGAUGAUGAUGAAGAUGACACGAGGACGGACAAGAAUGAUGAAGGCGUAGGAAGACGGGCACCGAGUUUAAUGAGGCAGACCUC